GCACAAGCGGUGGAUGAUGUGGAUUAAUUCGAUGCAACGCGAAGAACCUUACCUACCCUUGACAUGUCCGGAACUUGCCAGAGAUGGCUUGGUGCCCGAAAGGGAAUCGGAACACAGGUGCUGCAUGGCUGUCGUCAGCUCGUGUCGUGAGAUGUUGGGGUAAGUCCCGCAACGAGCGCAACCCUUAUCAUUAGUUGCUACGCAAGGGCACUCUAAUGAGACUGCCGGUGACAAACCGGAGGAAGGUGGGGAUGACGUCAAGUCCUCAUGGCCCUUAUGGGUAGGGCUUCACACGUCAUACAAUGGUCGGUACAGAGGGUUGCCAAGCCGCGAGGCGGAGCCAAUCCCACAAAGCCGAUCGUAGUCCGGGUUGUUCUCUGCAACUCGAGAGCAUGAAGUCGGAAUCGCUAGUAAUCGCAGGUCAGCAUACUGCGGUGAAUACGUUCCCGGGUCUU
rnacentral:rRNA from 1 species